UCCCUUAGUAGCGGCGAGCGAACAGGGAAGAGCCCAGCGCCGAAUUCCGCGUCUCAAAGGGCGUUUGGAACAUGUGGCGUUUAGGAGGAAUCUCUCCGAGGGCAGACGGUGUCGCAAGUCCCCCUGAACGGGGCUGUGAUCCAGAGCGGGUGCGAGGCCCAUAGCUGGUACCGUCUCCUUUGGGUGUCCCCUCCUUGGAGUCGGGUUGCUUGGGAGUGCAGCCCUAAUUGGGUGGUAAACUCCACCUAAGGCUAAAUACGUCCGUGAGACCGAUAGCAAACAAGUACCGUGAGGGAAAGUUGCAAAGAACUUUGAAGAGAGAGUUCAAGAGUACGUGAAACCGCUCAGAGGCAAACGGGUGGGCCCACGAAAGCCGAAGGCGGGGGGAUUCAGUCGAGAGGACGGUGGGGCAGGACUGGCUGGUUGGACGGACCGUGCCAGGCCGGGUCAGUUCCCGAGAUCUGCCGCCUUUCGACGCAUUUCCCCCUGCUUAGUAGGACGCCGCAACCGGUUGGCGCUGCAGCCAUAAGGGAGAGUAAAUGGAAGGUAGCCAGUGAGUUCUUCUUCGGAGGCGCGAGCUGGUCCUAAGCCGACUCUCCUGGUGCUUGUGGCCCGACCGUGGUCGUGAGUCCCUCAACGGGAUGUYGCCGAGCCCUCUGACUGGAGCGGGAGAAAUGGCAGGCUGCUUUCCGCGGAAAAAAUCGAUCGCUUCACGCGUGCAGUGGGCGAUCUCCGGAGGUAGCUGCUGGUGCAUUUUUCUCCUGCGCUGGGCACAGGCAGUUGGCGGCGAGUAGGUCGGUCACCCACCCGACCCGUCUUGAAACACGGACCAAGGAGUCUAACAUGUGCGCGAGUCAUUGGGUCUUGAACAAGCCCAAAGGCGCAAUGAAAGUGAAGACCAGCACUGAAGCUGGUGGAGUUGGGAAACUGUGUCACUGAAGAUGCAGUUGCACCAACGGCCCGUCCCGUCCGCAUCGUCGGUGGGGCGGAGCGAGAGCGUACACGUUGGGACCCGAAAGAUGGUGAACUAUGCCUGGGCAGGACGAAGCCAGAGGAAACUCUGGUGGAGGUCCG
rnacentral:rRNA from 2 species